rnacentral:rRNA from 1 species
AUGGCUAGUAAUUGGAGUUUCAGACAAUUUGGGGAGGUAAUUUGUAGCCAAUAUCCUUGGGGUUUGCUUGAUGAAGUGGUAUACAAAUACUAUGAUGGGGAAAAGAAUUGGGUGACAGUUAGUAAUGAUGAAGAGCUAGCUACCAUGUUUGUUAGGCAUAAAGAGAAAGAUAAUUUUCAUGUGAGGCUGCAAGUUGAUGUUCUUGAGCAGGCAUUUGGACCUAGGAUGGCGGGUGCAACAUCUCGGGGAGAAUCAAGUCGUCGUAAUGGCAUCUCUAGCCAGAACAGUUCAGUUGGUGCACGGCGACGUGGUGGCUCGACAAGUGUGGGCAACAGCAGUAGGGUCCCCCUUGAAGUGGAGCCUGAUGGCUACAAUUCUGGGGUUGAUGAAGAGAAGUUAUAUUCUGAUGUUAUUCAGAAUUUACGACGGGCACCUCGGGAUGAAAACCAAGAUGAGGCUCACAAUGCAGUCCGUGUGGAUGAUGACGCGAUGGGUGAGGACGAAGACCUUGCAGCUGUUGAAUGGGACCCUUUGAACCCUCAAAUGGAAGAAGGUACAGUUUUUGCAUCCAUGAAUGAGUGUAGAAAUGCACUUGUGACAUACUGCAUCAAGGUAGAACGUACUUUCAAAGUUGACAAGAGCGAUCAAGUACGUUACAGAAUGCACUGUCCGACUGAGGGUUGUCCAUGGAGGCUGCUUGCAGCUAAAAUGCGGAAUAUCACUAAUGUUCAGGUCAAAGUGAAUCCUUUUAAGCACACAUGCCAGGAAUCAACCCUUAGGAAGGAUACAAUCAGUAGAGCCAAGUCAAGAUGGGUGGCAGAAGAAGUAAAAAAGUGGGUGAAAGAAAACUAG